AGAAACCAUACCUCAGGUGUCGGAUUUGGUCGCUGGAGGAGAGAGAACGACGGCAUCGCAAAUUCAGUGAAAACUGAGGAAAUUAUGGUGGCUGGCUCGACGGUGACAGCGGGGAAGCUCUGAGGUACCAAGGUUGUGGCGGCGCGAUCCAAAUUUCACUGGGGUAGGGGGCUAAGGUGAUAGCGGAGAGAGAGAGAGAGAGAGUUAGGGCAAAAAUCAGAAUCUGGGGAAGAAUGAGGCCAUUGCGUCGUUUUCGAAAUUUUAUUCGAUUUUGCGCGACGAAGAAAUAAAAGCGUCGCACAAAAUAUUUUAAAUGAUUCUUGCGCGACGACAAAAGUUUAACUUCGG
rnacentral:lncRNA from 1 species